AGUGGCGGACUUGGCAGUCCUGGGGUAACAGUUGGACUGGAUGAUCUUACAGGUGUUUUCCAACCUAGUUUGAUCAUUCUAGAUGAUUCUGUAAUUCUUGUAAAUGGGUUGCACUUGGCCUCUUGUAUGUGAUUGCUCUUGGCUCAUUGUACGUGGAACAAUUUGACUCCUUAGGGUGUAAAGCUGUUGAGACACUUUGGCGUAGGCAUAUGAGUGUGUCUUUUGAGAUUAGACAAUUAAUAUUCACAGACCUUGAGAUUCUGGUCUCCAUCCUGGAGUGAUGAGUCCUUUGCCCCCUACCCCUAUCCCACUGUCUGGCAUGAAAACAAGGCCAGAACAGUCAUGUCGUCUUGGAGAAGACUUCUUACUUGGUUUGUGGAUUUUUUACGUAUUCUGUGGUAUAUGUAAUAUAUAUAUUAUAUAUUAAUCGGAAAGGUAUAUAUAAUAUAUAUAUUAUAUAUUAAUAGGGAAGAGAAAAAAUAAGAGCCUUUUCACAAAUAGACUAGAAUAGUGGGGAUGUUUAUACAAAUAAAAUAUACUUUUUUCAGUGCUUUCAAUAAUACAGGGUAAUUUAAAAAUACAUUAUUUAAGCUAUAUAUGUGUAUAUAUAUAAAAACUAUAAGUUAUUUAAGCUAUGUAUGUGUAUAUAUAAUGUGUAUAUAUGUAUUAAAUCUAUAUAUAUAUUUAAUGUCAGAAUGUGGCCACCCCAGUUUUUUUAUUAGCAACCCUGAAGACUCCUUUUCAACGUAUAAUGUACUUUGGAUACAGUGUAUUUCUUCUGCUUGGGAUAAAUGGGAGUGUACCAGUCAGACUGAGCCAGUCAAGUAAGUUCCCAAAAGUUUCAGAGCUCUUCAGAUCGCUGAUGAGAGAUUAUCAGCAACUAGAUCCAUGUAGGAGGGGGACCUAGUGAUGGAUAUUUCCACCUCCCCUGAAGCAAUCAGACAGGCAUUUGCCAAACCUGGUCUUGGGAGCAGGACAGGAAGCAGCACGGUGUGAGUGAGCAAGGGGCCAGGGUGGGAGACAGCUUUCUGGGGGCAAUGGCACAGCCGAGGGGAUGGAGUACUCUGCCCCUGCUUGUGAUGACGGCAAGUCACUGGUGCAGUCACGGCAGGGCAACGGGCUCACAUGGACUCAGCAGCCCUGGGCCCCCUCUCUGCAGCGUGAGCCAAGAGCCAGUGCAAGCAGGGCCAGACGCACUGACUGUCCCCAUGGUGUACUGGGAGAAAGAGGAAGGGCAGCGCUGCUGCCUUGCCAUGGAAAACAGCUCUUGAAGGCUGAUCUUUUAUCUCUGUAGUAACCUGUUUAGCUAUUAUACAGCAUAUAUAGCCUUGCAAUAUAUGGUAUUGUGCUGGGUGACCAAGCCUCAUUAGCAGUUACCACAGAGUUUCAUUCAUUCAUUAUUAAUUAUUUGCAUAAGUGCAUGAUGGUAUUCAUUCAGUGCUGUCUUGCAGCAUCUCAUUGCAAGGGCCUUGCCUGACCAUGGGCUCUUCUCCACCCUCUUUCUUGAGCAGAAAUUAAAGAAGGUGGGCAAUGACAGCUACAGACCCCACAUUAGCUUGCUAGCCAGCAGGCUCUGUGCCCCAGCCGGGCUGAAUCUCAGACUGGUUAUGACCACUUCUUCCUUUCCUUUUUUUUUUUU